rnacentral:misc_RNA from 1 species
UUGAAUAAUUCUGAUGAGUUGUCGCUGGCCUUUGGGCAUGUGCACGCUUGUCACCUUUAUUUCUCCACCUGUGCACCUCUGUAAACCUGGGAAUAACUUGUCUUGAUUUCGAUCGAGGAUUUGGAGACUGAUGUGGCUCACGCUCGUCUGACUCCUACAUUUCCAGGUCUACGUUUUUUCAUACACACUUUAAAUGUUCAGAAUGUCUAUUUGUUGUGGCCUUUGUUGCCCAUACAAUGUCUUAUA